GAUGAAGAACGCAGCGAAAUGCGAUACGUAAUGUGAAUUGCAAAUUCAGUGAAUCAUCGAGUCUUUGAACGCACAUUGCGCCCCCUGGUAUUCCGGGGGGCAUGCCUGUCCGAGCGUCAUUGCUGCCCUCAAGCACGGCUUGUGUGUUGGGCCCCGUCCUCCGAUCCCGGGGGACGGGCCCGAAAGGCAGCGGCGGCACCGCGUCCGGUCCUCGAGCGUAUGGGGCUUCGUCACCCGCUCUUGUAGGCCCGGCCGGCGCUUGCCGACACAUCAAUCUUUUUUCCAGGUUGACCUCGGAUCAGGUAGGGAUACCCGCUGAACUUAAGCAUAUCAAUAAGCGGAGGA
rnacentral:misc_RNA from 1 species